CCGUUCCCCGCCGCAAGCGGGACCCGCCGGGCUGGGGACAGGUUUUUGGGGGGUCUCCCAUGGUGCCCCCUCCCCAGAAAGCUCCAAGGGCCCCCUGAAGUGGCUCCUGUUCCACCGGCCGGUGCUCCCUGAUCCAGGACGGCCCCACACAAACAGAACAAGACAACUGGGGAUAAAAGCAUCAUAUAGUCAACCUAUAACACUGCUACACUCAGGGAGAACAGAGCAAGUUCUGUGAGGCAAAGUGGUGAGUGGAGAGUGAGGGGAGAUGGUCUGUCAUUCUGACCUGUUCAGAGUUUCUCUGGGAUUUAACCUUUCUCAGGUGGAGGGUCAUCACCUUCCAACCUUUCCCUUAAAAAGUGACCAGGUGCUGCUGAGAGCAGAUGGAUCCACCACAGCCCAGCUCCACAUUUGUAGACAAGGACUCACGUUGCUCAUUCCACCAACCCAGCAGCAUUUUCAGUGUCACAACACCUCUGCCUUUCCCUGUCAAUCUUAUAACUCAGAGAUGCCCUAGGACAGAUUUGUACCCUGGACUGAAGUUCCCAGCUUGGGCUGAAAUCUCAGGGAGACUUCCAAGUGUUCCUAUGAUGGCAUUGGAUGAAGGGAGAUGCAGCUCCUUCCCUGGCUGCACUGACAGCAUUGCUCAGAGCCAGGCACUGGGGACAGCGUCACCCUGAGCCAGCUGUGCCCCCUGCCAGAGCCCCCAGGGCCGGGCAGCUGUCCCAGCCCUGUGCUCUGCAGAGGGAACUGGGCCUGGGGCUGCAGAGCUGCCCCACGGCUCUGCUGCAGCUCUGCCUGCACAGGAGGGGCUGCACACCUUGGAGCCCCGGCCCUGAGGGCAGAGGCUUGGCUGGGGGCACAGGAGGGAGGGGGCUUUUUCAGAGGGAGGGGCUGAACUGGAGGAGAUCCUGUGGACAUCUCUGAUCUCUCCCUGCGACAGCGUUUCUGAGUUUGGUUUUCUCUCAUUGCCUGAUCUUCUCUCUUCCUGGAGAUUUUCCUCCUGCAGGUGUUUCCCUGUGCCUGAUCUCUCUGUGCCAGCAUUCACAGACCCUAAAUCUCUGGGCACUCUCCUUGGCUUGACAGAACCCUCCCUGUUUGCAGGGCACUGGCUGGGGCAGGUUCUGUUUGCAGCUUGGAAAAAGGACAGCUCAGACUGAGUCUGAUGGCUCCAGCAAAUGUGAAUCUUGGGCUGUCCAUGGGCAGAGUGGCUGCUUUGGCGGGGCUUGACAGCUGGCCUGCAAGCAAAGCUGAGUUAAUAGAAGAAAUAACAAUUGAUGAUUUUCGGUGUAUCCAUAGCAAGGAAGAAGACAAGGCCGUCAGCAUGGAAACCGAUUAGAAAAGAUACAUGAGAAUUUUUGUAAGCUAGACUACGUGCCUAAGUGGAUGUGUAUACAUGCCUUAUUAAAUUUCUGUAAAACUUUUGCCAAUUAUAUUGACACUGAUUGCUUGGCACCAAUGAAUAUAAAAAGUUAUUGUGAUGUAGUUAAUAACUUAAGAUCACGCUUUGUUAAGGGUGUAUGAACUGGAGAAGAUGCAGAAUAAAAACUUUUUUUCUUCCUGGA